GGUCUUGUGGUCUAGCGGUAUGAUUCUCGCUUAGGGAUACCUAAGUUAUAAAUUUCACACUCUUCAAAAGGUGAAUUUGCGAGAGGCCCCGCGUUCGAGUCGCGGCAAGACCC